CUCCUCCAUCUUGUCUGAGGGCAUUGGGGCGAGUUGAGGUGCCGGGCAGGUGGCCACGCGCGAGUCCACUCUUACUGCAGACGUGACCGAGGUGGGUGAGCCGGGACGUAGUGAAGGGUAUGGCGUGGUGGUGGCGGCAGCGGCGGUGACGACGGCAGCGGCGGUGACGACGGCAGCGGCGGUGACGACUUGGGUGUCCUGGGUGGCUUUAACAGUUAACUGUUGAAGACAAGUGUAGCGAGUGUCGGCGCUUGUGUCGGGAGUUCUGAGCACGGCUGUGUCAAUGGAGAUAUCGUGAACACACACAGGAAGAUUUAAGAAGUAGGAUGAUGCCACAUAGACAGACAGACAGGUGUGGAAGAAGUGCUGGCAUACUGGAGGUCAAGAGUCGCGUGUUGAGUCAUAAAGGUCACCAAGAGAGGUCAUCCACUCAACCCCACUGCCAGUCCAGACGCAACACUGUCAUGAAGAUUUGCCUCAAGCUGUUUGCCCCUGUCUGCCUGUCUGUCUGUCUGUCUGUCUGUCUGUCUGUCUGCCUGCCUGCCUGCCUGCCUGCCUGCCUGCCUGCCUGCCUGCCUGCCUGCCUGUCUGCCUGUCUGUCUGUCUGUCUGUCUGUCUGCUUGCCUGCCUCCCUGCCUGCCUGCCUGCCUGUCUGCCUGCCUGCCUGCCUGCCUGCCUGUCUGUCUGUCUGUCUGUCUGUCUGUCUGUCUGUCUGUCUGUCUGUCUGCCUGCCUGUCUGCCAAUUAAUGAUCUGUGUAUUCUGUUAUACUUGUGAAUACUGUGUGUGUGUGUGUGUGUGUGUGUGUUGUAUUGUUGUGUAAAGUAUAUUAUUGAUUGUAUAGCACAUGUAUGGGCUGGCCAGACCUGAUGUACUGUGACAACCAAAAUCUUGACAUAUACUGCUUGAUAAAUGAAAAGUAAAAAUAGAUAAAUAAAAUAAAAAUUUUGAGCCAAACUAAUGAGGUCUUUCUCUGCUCUUUUUCAGAGGUGCGUAUGUCUGCGAGUCAGCCCAACCAAAACCUCUUGUGUCUUGCCUUAUUCUGAUAAUAGGUUCAGUUAGGUUAUUUAGUGUGGGGGUCUCUUUUCCUUACUAACAAAAUUAACAUAACCUGUCCCUUCUCGUCAAGCUGUCCGUGGGAGAUGCCCCGAGACUCUCAGGUGUUUCUCAAGCAUCCACUGCCAGUGUGCUAGGUCACCUUGAAUAGUCAGACGGGGCUCACUCAACUGUUGCAGUGUUCGUGUUGCAGUGUUGCAGACUUUCACCCAAACAAGGGGAGUAUUGCGUAUUUAUUGCAUUGAUUUUGUAUAUAUAUAUUGCUUGAUGGGAGGUGGAUGGUUGGCGGGUGGGUGGGGGAAUCUGAGGGUACCUAUGUAGGGUGUGUGUGUGUGUGUGUGUCUGUCUGUCUGUUUUUUUUUUUUUGUUUGUGUGUGUGUGUAUUUUUUUUUAUAUAUGUGUGUGUGUGUGUGUGUCUGUCUGUUUUUUUUGUUGUUUGUGUGUGCGUGUGUGUGUGUGUGAGUGUAUUUUAUAUGUGUGUGUGUGUGUGUGUAGGUAUUAGGCCAGAAUCUUAGAAUAUUUGACUUAGGUUAAUAGAAGAGUGGUAGGUUAAUAGAAGAGUGGUAAGUUGAUGUUAUUUAUGAAAGGGUUAAGUAAGGCAUAGAGAGAGACAGAGAGCUACUGAUAGGAUUAGGAUGAUAGGGAGUGUGAAUGGUUAGCUCAGAUUAUAUGGAGUGCUUCAUUCCAUAUAAUCAGAGCUUGUGUGGCAUGCUGCACUGUUGCAUACAAGUAUCUUCUUAUUUCCGUAGUGGUGGUGGUGCUGGUGGUAGUGGUGGUGGUGGUGGUGGCACGUUAUGAAUGAUAUUUUUUUGUUUUUUUUUUUGGUUCGGGGGUAUAUAGUGUUUAUAGAUAUAUAUAUAUAUAUUUUUUUUACCCAGAUCUUUUGGUAAGAGGUCUGGGUUUAUGUAUGGAUGUAUGUACGUGUCUGGCCAGUAUUUGGUAAGAUGCUGGCUGGAUUGUGUGUCCAUGCGUGUGUGUGUAUGUAUGUAUGUAUGUAUGUACGUGUCUGGCCAGUAUUUGGUAAGAUGCUGGCUGGAUUGUGUGUCCAUGCGUGUGUGUGUGUGUGUGUAUGUAUGUAUGUAUGUAUGUACGUGUCUGGCCAGUAUUUGGUAAGAUGCUGGCUGGAUUGUGUGUCCAUGCGUGUGUGUGUGUGUGUGUGUGUGUGUAUGUAUGUAUGUAUGUAUGUAUGUACGUGUCUGGCCAGUAUUUUGGUAAGAUACUGGCUGGAUUGUGUGUGUGUGUGUGUGUGUGCGCAAUUUUCUUCUUUUAGGUUAACUAAUUAGUUAAAUAAAUAAAUAAAUGAGAAAAUAAAUAAAUAAAUAAAUGAGAAAAUAGGGAAAAGUAAUAAUAAGAAAAUUUGAAAGUAAAUAAAUAUAUAAAUAAAAAUAUAGGAAUAUUUAUGAGUUGGGGGAGCAGAAGGGGGGGUGGGUAAGCAAGAUUAGGAGUGCUGGUAGAAGUAGGGUGUGAAGGGGCGGGUGAGGAAGCUGUAUGGAUGACCACAAUAGGGGGGGCGGGUUGGGGUAGGAUGUGGGUGAUAUAUAAUUUGCUAAUAUUUGAACCCUUUAUAUACCGACAUGCAUACUGACACAUUUCUCUCAGACAGAUAAGCCUGGCUGGUGAGAGAGAGAGGGAGUGGGGGGUUCUGUUUCAUUAUGUAAGUGUUUGAGGUGACAUGAGGUUGUCUGGCCAGCCUUGACCCAGUACAUGUGAUAGGCUUAUUGGAAUUCAUCAUUGUUCUUGCAUUGUAAUCGUUAUUGUGUGUGUGUGUGUGUGUGUUUGUUAUUAGUGUACUUUAAAUUGUAGAUGGUGUAUUAUUGAAUUAACAUAAAGUUAACAUGAAUUAACAUAAAGCACAAUUUUAUUAGUAUUUUUUGUUUAUUUGUUUUAACCAAGACUUUAGUGUACAAGUUUUUGGUAAAUAAAUUGUUAUUAACAUUACUUACUGUUUUGAAACCUUUCUACUGUAGGAGUUUAAGUCACAGGAAGAAGUAAAGAGACAUUGGUGUAAAUAUUGGAUUGCAUUAGAAAAAAAAAAUAAUAAUUUUCCUCCCAAAGGUGAACAGUACUUAUGGAGGCCUGAAUGGUGGUGAGUCCAUUCCAGACUAUUCCAGUCACCCACCACUCUCUUUGACAACUAAUUCCUCCUUACUUACUAAUUCCUUCUUACUUACUACUACUACUACUACUACUACGACUACUACAGCUGGCCACACACAUUUAAAGCCAUUUUUUUAAAUUUUUACAAAGUUUAGACAUAGACAGAUAAAAGAAUUUGUUUGUUGAAUGCCUAAUUGCUUCAUUUCUGGUAUUUUAAUAUAUUUUUUAAUUGUUAGGGUUUUCAAGGUGUUUUUUCAUAAUAUUAGUGAUAGUUUUGUAGGCUUUGCUUAUUUAUGUCUGAUUUUUUAUCUAUUAAUCUCUCAGUGUACCCAUUUAUCUAAGUAUCUCCUGGACCUAACUUAACUAGGCCUAUCUGUUUCUCUCUCAAUGUCGAUCUAUUUACCUAAUCUAACCAUCUAUCUCUCAGUCUAUUUAACUUUCUGUUUAACCAUUUAUCUAUGUCUCUAUCUCAAUCUAUGUAACUAAGUACCUACCUAAUCUAACCAUCUCUAUCUCUCUCUCUCAGAAUGUGGAUGAGGGGACAAGAGAGCCAGUGUUCCAAGUACCACCACCAUCACCACUGCCACCACCACCACCACCAUCAGGAGCACAGAUUCACUGAAGUCUCUACCAAGAUUUCUUUGAGUUUUUUGAUAAAUUUAACUUCCAGGAGAGAGAGAGAUGCUGAUUGUUAAAGGCAGUGUGUGAAGCCUGCCCACUGUCUUUGUAUAUACAGAAGGUGGAAUUUGAGUCGGCCAAGCCUCAGAAAUGCAGGAAGGAUUAGCGGUGAUGACUGCAGGCUGCCAUCGACCCGCAGGUGUGAUGGUGCCCGACCAGCUGGUACACAUCAGUGAGAUGGUGGUGGUGCUGGAAAACAGCUGGUUUGCCAAGUGCAGCGUCAGGCAGGCCGCCCGCCCACACAGUCACCAGAAGGAUCACAGGUCAUCACAGGAAUCAAAUGCAGCAUCAGUAUGGCUCACCAAACACUUCCCCUCACACUGGUGGUGUUGACCUGCCUUGUGAACACCUGAUCUCCUGUGCUCCUGUCCUUCACAGCUCUCCAGGUGACAUCAGAUGUGGAUGAGGGGACAAGAGAGCCAGUGUUCCAAGUACCACCACCAUCACCACUGCCACCACCACCACCACCAUCAGGAGCACAGAUUCACUGAAGUCUCUACCAAGAUUUCUUUGAGUUUUUUGAUAAAUUUAACUUCCAGGAGAGAGAGAGACAGAGAUGAUUGUUACUGGCAGUGUGUGAAGCCUGCCCACUGUCUUUGUAUAUACAGAAGGUGGAAUUUGAGUCGGCCAAGCCUCAGAAAUGCAGGAAGGAUUAGCGGUGAUGACUGCAGGCUGCCAUCGACCCGCAGGUGUGAUGGUGCCCGACCAGCUGGUACACAUCAGUGAGAUGGUGGUGGUGCUGGAAAACAGCUGGUUUGCCAAGUGCAGCGUCAGGCAGGCUGCCCGCCCACACAGUCACCAGAAGGAUCACAGGUCAUCACAGGAAUCAAAUGCAGCAUCAGUAUGGCUCACCAAACACUUCCCCUCACACUGGUGGUGUUGACCUGCCUUGUGAACACCUGAUCUCCUGUGCUCCUGUCCUUCACAGCUCUCCAGGUGACAUCAGAUGUGGAUGAGGGGACAAGAGAGCCAGUGUUCCAAGUACCACCACCAUCACCACUGCCACCACCACCACCACCAUCAGGAGCACAGAUUCACUGAAGUCUCUACCAAGAUUUCUUUGAGUUUUUUGAUAAAUUUAACUUCCAGGAGAGAGAGAGACAGAGAUGAUUGUUACUGGCAGUGUGUGAAGCCUGCCCACUGUCUUUGUAUAUACAGAAGGUGGAAUUUGAGUCGGCCAAGCCUCAGAAAUGCAGGAAGGAUUAGCGGUGAUGACUGCAGGCUGCCAUCGACCCGCAGGUGUGAUGGUGCCCGACCAGCUGGUACACAUCAGUGAGAUGGUGGUGGUGCUGGAAAACAGCUGGUUUGCCAAGGGCAGCGCCAGGCAGGCUGCCUGCCCACACAGUCACCAGAAGGAUCACAGGUUCCAUUCACAGGUAAAGCCUCAUCAGACACAACACAGAGUGCAGCUUCUUCUGAGAUACCAGUGGUCUGAAGUGAAGCUGCAAGAAGUUUUCCCAGCACAGAUCUUCACUUACAUUUCUGUUGCCAGCACAUCUCCCGUCAGGUCUUGGGAGCACCGGGUGUUGUUCGGCAGGAAGGAGGCCAGGUUGUUAGGGCACGGCCUCACCCCACUGUCGCACACACCCACAGGCAUGAGGGGUGCCAGCCAGCAGGCCACGUCCCCAACACAGCUCCCACCUGCAUCCUGACCUCAUUCAGCAUCAACACCAGCCACACAGAAAAGUGAUGCUCCUGCAACAGCUGACGUUUACCUUUGCCAGUCACCUCGUCCAUGCUGAACUGCUCCACCAGCACCUUUGAAGCAGCUGUCCUACAUCCUCCUGGAAGCAACAGCAUACAGUCAUCACAGGAAUCAAAUGCAGCAUCAGUAUGGCUCACCAAACACUUCCCCUCACACUGGUGGUGUUGACCUGCCUUGUGAACACCUGAUCUCCUGUGCUCCUGUCCUUCACAGCUCUCCAGGUGACAUCAGCUGAGUGCAGCUGUCGGUGACUGCAGGAAUGGACCUCAGAUGGUGGAUACAGCAUUACCAAGUCAAGAAGGAGACACUGUGAUGUGGCUGCAGGUGGAUAGAUACCAGGAUAUGUGACCACCACCACCACCACCACCACCAUUGGAGAUGCCCCUCGCUAGUUGCACAUUACGGCCCUGUUGUGUACCCCGGUGGCCUUCAUAGUUGACCGCUGAGUGCAGCUGUCAGUGACUGCAGGAAUGGACCUCAGAUGGUGGACACAGCAUUACCAAGUCAAGAAGUUGUCCAGUAUUUUAUCUCUGCUCUCAAACAAGCAAUGACCAGUGGUGGUGUUGUUCAUGUCUGGCUUGUGUGUGUGUGUGUGUGUGUGUGUGAGUUUGUUCAUCCAUUAUGAUUUGAAGAGAUUGUGUUUGUAUUUUUAUUGUGGUACUCUGUGAUUAUACUUUGAAAUUA